CCGGAUUUAUUGGGCGUAAAGAGCGUGUAGGCGGCCCGACAGGUCAGCUGUGAAAACUCGAGGCUCAACCUCGAGACGUCGGUUGAAACCGUCUGGCUAGAGUCCGGAAGAGGAGAGUGGAAUUCCCGGUGUAGCGGUGAAAUGCGCAGAUAUCGGGAAGAACACCCGUGGCGAAGGCGGCUCUCUGGGACGGUACUGACGCUGAGACGCGAAAGCGUGGGGAGCGAACAGG
rnacentral:rRNA from 1 species